GUUUUGUUUGUUUGAUUCAUACCAUGAUUUGGUGGGAGUGUAACUGCCCAUGAUUUAAUGUACUCGCUUUGCUUGCCCUAAUUGGAGUCACCACAGGAGGGCGCUCUAGACUAAUAGGAUUUAAGUGAGACAAAGCAGAGUAAGAGCAAUUCACGUUUGUUCAUGAGCUAACAGGUACAGCUCGGAAGAAUGCCUUGAGCUUUUAGUGUCCCUUCGGCAAGCAGAGCGAGUUUUACGGUGCUUUGGUGCUUUUGGUGCCUUUGGUCUUUUGAUGCUUCUGUGUAUACAACAAAGAACUGAGACGAUGAUUUAUGUGAUGAGCUUUAUUGCAUCCAAGUAAACCUUUUUAAAUGCACCCGUCAAAAA